rnacentral:tRNA from 1 species
GCGGGUGUAGCUCAAUGGUAGAGCUCCAGCUUCCCAAGCUGGUGGUGAGGGUUCGAUUCCCUUCACCCGCU